rnacentral:tRNA from 1 species
UAAAGAUUAUUUUAAUAUAAAAUAUCUGGCUGUUAACCAGGAGAUUUAUCUUUAA